rnacentral:tRNA from 1 species
CCCCCUGUAGCUCAGUUGGUAGAGCAGCAGCCUUUUAAGCUGACGGUCGAAGGUUCGAGCCCUUCCGGGGGGA